ACUUCCUUUAUACUAUCUAUCCAUCCCUUAAGUGGCCUACCUCUCAAGCCCACGCCUCUCACUCUUAAUCUAACCAUCUUCUUCACCAGCCUAUAAUCCUCCAUUCUCUCAACUUGUCCACGAUCUCAGCGCACAUUGCUCUGUUCCUGCCGUUUUCAUUUGCACUUCUCAUUUCUGACAGUCCACUAGGCACUCCCACAUACUCCGUAGACAUCUCAUCUUCAUUACAUUCAGUCUCUUCUUGUCGUCUACUCCCAAGCCUCAGCACCGUGCAGCGCAGUAGGCACUACUAUCGUUCAUGUAAUAUAUUCUCUUUAGUAUAUUAAUUUCAAAUGCCAUACUCUCAAAUAGUCUAUUCAUGUUUCCUAACACUUGUCCUGCUUCCUUCACACCAGCUCUAACUUGUCUCUACUACUCCUUCAUCCUCGGCUACUGUAGAUCCAAGAUAUUUGAAACAGUCUUCCUCCUCCAGCUUACAUUUAUUCUAACACCUGUCUCCCUGGUGCACUUCAUUACCUUAUUCCUUCCUACAUUAACCUUCAGAGUUUCUUUCCCCUGCGUAUCUGCCCAAACUCCUCUAUCAGCCUAGUUAACUUCUCUGUAUCUGCAACCAGUGUUAUGUCAUCAGCAAACAGCAACUGAUUCAAACUCCAUUCUUCACUCUGUUGUUACUAGUUGGAGUACUGCAAUUAAAAAAUAAAUAAAUAAAUAAAUAAGUAAGCAUGAAGAAACAAGUGAUGAUUGAGGUCUAUGAUUGGUUGUGGAAUGCAUUUUCUGCCAAGGUAGGAGUUGUCUUUGGCACAUAGCAGUUUCAUCACAUCAGUGUACUGUUGAAUUGAUGGGAAUGUUGACAGCCACAAAGAAUUGGACAAGUGUGAGCUCUACAAAGAUUUGUGGGACGCAAACAUCACAACAAGAAAAUAAUAAUAAUAAAUGAAUAAUUAAAUAGAUCAAUAAAUAAUUAAUUAAUGGAUAAAUAGAAUAAAAAACAAGCAAAUAAAUAAAUAAAUAAACUAAGAUGAAAUACGUAAAAAAAAAAAAUAUUAUAAUAAUAACAAAUGAAAAUAAUAAAAUAAAUGGUUUUAGUUUAACAAAGAUUCUUGUUAGCCUUCCGUUUUCUGCAGGCUUUUCCCUGGCUGCCUUCCUACCCCCUUCACCGCCACACGUAUUCACAGCCUUCCCUCCUGUCUUAUGCUGCCGCUAAAUGGGUGCUUCUGUUCUACGAUCUGCUUACUGAGCGCCUUUUGUACUUUGCAACCCAGUCUUCAAACCUGUUUCCUGCAAAGCUUCCGUGGUCUUGCCUGAGAGGCUUGGCUUGGUGGUUGAUAGCUGCCUGCAACGCUACUCUGCCAUACACCAGUUUUGUUCUCCACCUCACAGUCUCUUUGUUGCCCACCAGCCCACCCACCACAACUGCACAUGUUCCUGUGGCCAGCAGCCUUUGCUGAAUGUCAGUUGCAUCAGUGGUGCUUUUUCCUGAGCAUGCUGACCCAGCAAAGAACAGGCAGGAGCUGGGCUUCCAUCUCAUGGUUUCCUCCUGCCACACAUAUUGUACAUGUAUAUGCUGCCUCUUAACUCACAGCUUUGCUGUCUAUUGCUGGCCCUGCUGUUGGGCCCUUCACUUCUAUAAUAGUGUCCUCUGCUUUUUGUGGGCCUCUGAUCAGGCUUGUUAUACCUGCCUACACUUAUCAGCCUUGCUGUAUAGCAUCCUAGCUUUUUUUUUUUUGUAACAUUGCAUUUAAGCUGCCUUUAAGUAUCAUAUGCAAUCUUUGUGCUUAUUCCUUUUAAACUUUACUAUCAACUGAAAUAAAAAAUGAAAUAAAAUUCAUUUUGAUAAAAGUAACUUUAGCCUUCAUGGAAUUCCUGUCGGCAAUAGAACAUGGUAGGGUGUGCAAGGAAAAUCUUCAGUGAUUGGCUUGAUCCACUGGAUGUCAGCGAUGACCAGCUCUUAUGUUCUCAUGAGAUCCUGCACCUUUUGACUCCUUAGUGAUUCAGGUUAUCCUCUGGAGCCCUUACUAAUGACUCCUGUAAGCCAGCCAAGAACUGCUGACAAGCUGGCCUACCACAGCCAUGCAAAGAUACAUGUGAUGGUGGAGCAAACAUUUGGGACACUGAAAUCCAGUCCACUGUCUGCAUGAGUCAGGCUGCAGCCUGCAGUACCACAUGGUUAAAAGUGCUCAUAUAGAAGUAGCAUCUGUGCAGUAGCAUAACAUGUGCAUCCAAAAAAGAAUAAGCCACUACUUAAUGAUGAUGACCCUAAAGCUGAAGAAUAUAGAGGAGGUAUUCAAGCUGGGCUGGCUCACUGCAGGGCUCUCAUUGAAAAUGUCUUCAUAGACACUCUCUCUCUCUCUCUCUCUCUCUCUCUCUCUCUCUCUCUCUCUCUCUCUCUCUCUCUCUCUCUCUCUCUCUCUCUCUCUCUCUCUCUCUCUCUCUCUCUCUCUCUCUCUCUCUCUCUCUCUUUUUCUCACUGUGGCUAUACCUUGAUCAAGUUUUGUAAUUGAGAACUCCUGUGUCACCUCACUCUGCCCACAAGCUGCUGGACUGGGAUGACUGUUGAUGGGGUGGGAAUUUAUUUUAUUAAUUAAUCCAUUUUAUUUUUUAUUGAAGAUACAGCUUUCAACCAUUAUGCAUUGAAUGACAUUAGUUACAUUUCCCAAGUUGACCUCCAGACAGACAGACUAAGCACUCUAAUUUUUUUAGUAGUAGUAGCAGUAGUUAAUAAAUUAUCAUUAUUAUUAUUAUUAUUAUUAUUAUUAUUAUUAUUAUUAUUAUUAUUAUUAUUAUUAUUAUUAU